rnacentral:rRNA from 1 species
AAACCAGCACCUCAAGUGGUCAGGAUGAUUAUUGGGCCUAAAGCAUCCGUAGCCUGCUCCGGAAGUUUUCGGUUAAAUCUGUAUGCUCAACAUACAGGCCGCCGGGAAUACUGCAGAGCUAGGGAGUGGGAGAGGUAGACGGUACUCGGGAGGAAGUGGUAAAAUGCUUUGAUCUCUCGAUGACCACCUGUGGCGAAGGCGGUCUACCAGAACACGUCCGACGGUGAGGGAUGAAAGCUGGGGGAGCAAACCGGAUUAGAAACCCGGGUAGUCC